AUCCAAUGAUGGUUGCUCAGAUGAAGAAGAUAUUAUGUUCUAUGAUGAAGUUUCAAUCCAGUUUUUGUAAUCCUCUCUCUUUGAUCACUGUUUUUUUACUAAGGAUACACUAUUUAUUUUGUAGGUAGAGAUUUAUCCAACUUACCACUUUUGGUGGUUAGAUGAGGCAAAUGAAGGCAAGCUUGCAUUCUAUUAACUUCUACCAUCAUUGCAGCAAAUGUUGGCUUUAGAGCAUUCCCUCUUAUCUUAAGUUAAUCAGUAACAAUCAACUUGGUAUAUAUGCUGAAACUUCUGAAGUGUUUGUUGAUGAGAUGGCCUCAGGCAAAUGAAGAGCAAUUGAUUGGGAGGACAUGAAAAAAAUAAACUACUCAUGGAAGUGACAAAGUAAAGUGAUGAGAUUAGUGCCCCCAUAUAUAGGGACUUGGAAGAUUGCUUUUAUGUUUUAGUUUGGUUAUUUUGUGUUGCACAAUUGAAAUUUUAUGUUGUAUUAGAAUCGAACAAUUGAGGGUCGAAAUUUGAUCAAAUUAUGUGUAAGUUUGUAUUUGAACUCGAAUUAUUAUGUACUUCUUAAUGAAAUUUAAUGUUAUGUUUAAAUUUGUGA